rnacentral:rRNA from 1 species
GUGGGGAAUCUUGCGCAAUGGGCGAAAGCCUGACGCAGCCAUGCCGCGUGAAUGAUGAAGGUCUUAGGAUUGUAAAAUUCUUUCACCGGGGACGAUAAUGACGGUACCCGGAGAAGAAGCUCCGGCUAACUUCGUGCCAGCAGCCGCGGUAAUACGAAGGGGGCUAGCGUUGCUCGGAAUUACUGGUCGUAAAGGGCGCGUAGGCGGACAGCUUAGUCAGAGGUGAAAGCCCAGGGCUCAACCUUGGAAUUGCCUUUGAUACUGGCUGUCUUGAGUUUGGGAGAGGUGAGUGGAACUCCGAGUGUAGAGGUGAAAUUCGUAGAUAUUCGGAAGAACACCAGUGGCGAAGGCGACUCACUGGCCCAAUACUGACGCUGAGGCGCGAAAGCGUGGGGAGCAAACAGGAUUAGAUACCCGUGUAGUCC